rnacentral:lncRNA from 1 species
UAGAUAAUUAGGUUUUGAGCAGCAAUCUUCCUUUCUCUACAUUCUCCUUCAAUUUCAUAUAAGCGGCAAAAAAUUGAUAACCAGAUUCUUCACAUGGCUUCUCAAAACCAUUUUUUGAUUCCACGCCGCUGUGCUCUCCAACAAUCCCUUCAAUAGCGGCUACACGAGAGGAUCCCUGAUUCCAGUUAAAUCAAGCAAUGACGUUCAACGAGCCGUGAAUGGAGCCGAGUAUCAGCUUCGUUAAAGCUCUCAGUUUUUAAAUGAUAUCUGAUGAUGCGUUCGUUCUUCAUAUUCAUGACCAAUGUUCUUCACUUAAUUACAGAUAAAUAUGGAUUCCUCAGGAGCGGGUUUGAUUAGUCCCGAGACAAGAACGAUUGGAUAUUUUUGUACGAUUCUGGAUUAUCUGGAUUAUUGACGUGAUAUCGUAGUUACAUGCAAAUUUAAUCCAAUUACUACUAAUAGAUAGUGGUAAGUGGGUAUCGA